GAUGAACGCUGACAGAAUGCUUAACACAUGCAAGUCAACUUGAACUUCGGUUUGGGUGGCGGACGGGUGAGUAACGCGUAAAGAACUUGCCUCACAGCUAGGGACAACAUUUGGAAACGAAUGCUAAUACCUGAUAUUAUGAUUAUAUGGCAUCGUAUAAUUAUGAAAGCUAUAUGCGCUGUGAGAGAGCUUUGCGUCCCAUUAGCUAGUUGGAGAGGUAACAGCUCACCAAGGCGAUGAUGGGUAGCCGGCCUGAGAGGGUGAUCGGCCACAAGGGGACUGAGACACGGCCCUUACUCCUACGGGAGGCAGCAGUGGGGAAUAUUGGACAAUGGACCGAGAGUCUGAUCCAGCAAUUCUGUGUGCACGAUGAAGUUUUUCGGAAUGUAAAGUGCUUUCAGUUGGGAAGAAAAAAAUGGCGGUACCAACAGAAGAAGUGACGGCUAAAUACGUG
rnacentral:rRNA from 1 species